UACGUAGGGGGCAAGCGUUGUCCGGAAUCAUUGGGCGUAAAGAGCGUGUAGGCGGCUUGGUAAGUCCGCUGUGAAAGUCCAGGGCUCAACCCUGGAAUGCCGGUGGAAACUGUCAAGCUUGAGUCCGGAAGAGGCGAGUGGAAUUCCUGGUGUAGCGGUGAAAUGCGCAGAUAUCAGGAGGAACACCAAUGGCGAAGGCAGCUCGCUGGGACGGUACUGACGCUCAUGCACGAAAGCGUGGGGAGCAAACAGG
rnacentral:rRNA from 1 species